UUUGCUCUGCCCUUCUUGCUACAUAUGGAAAACCUAUAUCAAGAUGGUUGUCAUGGCAAUGAAAAGAUUUGCAUGUGUCUUAUCUAUCUAUUUAAAUACCUUCUUAUGGUUUAUAACUACUAUAAUACAUCCCUCCAGCUCUCCUCAUCACUAAUUUAGAGCUAGCCUGGUGCGUCUGAGGUCAUCGAUACCAUCUGAAGCAUGUUGUCUAGACAACUAUGAAGCCACUG
rnacentral:lncRNA from 1 species